UUUCUUUGGAAAGAUAUAAAAGUGUCGGGGAACCGAUAAUAUUUUGAUAUUUAAUAUCAAGUAAUUUAUUUUUCCACUAAGUUUUUCGAGGAUAAGCUCGAAAAAAAGUUAAGAUAUCUAUAGCUCUAACUUGUUAUGUGGGCUUAAGAUUGGCCAUCACGAGAGUUUGUUAUAAAACAGCCAUAAAAGAGCACAAAAUUUAUUUAGUUUUAUCUAACUUCCUACAAAGAUAAAGGCUUUAAUCUUUAAAAGCCUUAUACCUAUGCUAGAAUGAGUAUUAUAACCAGCCUAAAAAGAAAAAGUUAUUUAUCGUUUUUUUUAUUAAAAACAGAUUUUUCAAGACUAAAUAGCCAGAAGGAACUCGGCAAGUUAAGUUGCUUCGCCUGUUUAUCAAAAACAUGGCUCUUUGAAUAAUUAAAUAUAGAGAGUCGAGCCUGCCCAGUGAAUUUUUAACGGCCGCGGUACUCUGACCGUGCAAAGGUAGCAUAAUCAUUUGCCUUAUAAUUGAAGGCUAGUAUGAAUGGUUUGACGAGAGCAACACUGUCUCCUGACUACUUUUUAGAACUUAACCUUUAGGUGAAGAGGCCUAAAUUUUAUUGAAGGACAAGAAGACCCCGUCGAGCUUAAAAGACACUAUAGAAGUUAAUAUAACUAUAAAUAAAUAUUCUAUUAAGCUUUUUAGUUGGGGCGACUAAGGAACAAAAGAAGCUUCUUAUUAAUAACAUACGGUCAUGUAAAGAUCCGACAUAGUCGAUCAAAGAAAUUAGUUACCGCGGGGAUAACAGCAUAAUCUCUCUUAAGAGACCUAAUCGAAAGAGGGGGUUGUGACCUCGAUGUUGGACUAGAAUAUCCUAAAGAUGCAGAAG
rnacentral:rRNA from 1 species